GCUCCCGUCGUCUAGUCCGGCCAAGGAUGGCGGCCUUUCGAGCCGUAGAGGAACGAAGGUUUCGCGGAAACACGGGUUCGAAUCCCGUCGGGAGCA
rnacentral:tRNA from 1 species